GAUGAACGCUGACAGAAUGCUUAACACAUGCAAGUCGAUGGGGAAGUGGUGCUUGCACCCUGGCAACCAUGGCGGACGGGUGAGUAACGCGUAAGGGACUUACCUGCAGGACUGGGAUAACAGGGGGAAACUCCUGACAAGACCGGAUAAUGUCAUGGAGCUGCAUGGCUUUAUGAUGAAAGGAGACGCCUGCGGAGAGCCUUGCGUCCUAUUAGCUAGUUGGUGAGGUAAUGGCUCACCAAGGCGAAGAUAGGUAGCCGGCCUGAGAGGGUGGACGGCCACAAGGGGACUGAGAUACGGCCCUUACGCCUACGGGAGGCAGCAGUGGGGAAUAUUGGACAAUGGGGGCAACCCUGAUCCAGCAAUUCUGUGUGCACGAAGAAGGUUUUCGGAGUGUAAAGUGCUUUCAGCAGGGAAGAAGUAAGUGACGGUACCUGCAGAAGAAGCGACGGCUAAAUACGUG
rnacentral:rRNA from 1 species